AAAUAUAAAAUAAAAUAAUUUUUUUUUAAGUUCAAUUCAUAUAUAUGUAUGGAAAAUUUUAAGAUCUUUUCAGACCACUGGAAGUUAUUACAUGCAAAAAAUUUACCAACAAUUUUUAAAAUUAACUUUUACGAUUUAUUAAAUUUUAAAAAUUUAUAGUUUUUCUAUUUUUUUUUUAAUUUAAAUGUAUUUUUUAUAUCGCCCCAAAUACCUUUAAAAAGAGGCCAGAACCAUUUUUGUAGCUGCACUAGUUUUUGAGAAAUUGUGAAAUUUUGGACUUUCAAUUUUUUUUUUUCUUUUUGCCGAACUGUGUUAUAUGAUAAAAAAAGUUCUGGCCAAAAUUCAUCCACAUCGGAAAUGGUCAAUUCCAACCAUUUGUCGAUUUGGCAUGGAUCAACCCAUUUGUAUUUACUAGUGUUGGGCAAAAGUACUCAGAACUCGAUUCUCAAAAGUAUCGACAGCAACCGAUUUUUAAAAGUAUCGAUACUGAGUACUCCAAAGAACUCAGUACUCACAAAAGAACUCGAAAGCACUUAGUACUCAAAAAAGGAACCCAAAAGUACUCAGUACUCAUAAAUACUGUGUUGCAAUAAUGGCUUUGAUACAUGUACUCAAGAUCGAUUCAAAGUACUCAGUAUUAAGUGUCGAAUAGACUCAAAAAGUACUGAGUUUUAUUUACAUUCAACGGUAUUAAGAAAGGAUUGUACUCAAUUUGCAGUUUCAAUAAUUUUCAACUACCCAGUGACGUAAUUUGGGAUUCAUAUAUUAAUUUGAAUAAAAUACUGCCAGUUUGUGAGAUUUGUCCACUGAAAUGUUACCAAUAUGUGUAUAUUUAAAGAAAGUAGUCAGUACUCUGAAAAAUACUCGAUCCUUAAAAGUAUCGAUACCAAAGAACUCGAUUCUCAAAAAAACUCUGUACUUCCCAACACUAGUAUUUACAUAUACAUAUUAUUCCAAAAAUAUUAAAUUAAUAAUUUUUGGGAUUGAUAGGUAUUUAGGACUGAUUUUCUUAUUUCCAAAUCGGCUGUUUUCUUCGUAAACUUGCGCUAGUACAUCAUCCCGCGUGCAGGCGGUUCCUUCUGCAGUAGACCUUUCCGUUUUGUUCUUGACGCUUGGCGCCCUUGCUUUCGAAGGAUCCUUUCACUGGAGCGUCGCCAUUCAUACGUUUCUAUGCGUUCAACUAAAUGUACCCAUUUCAUUUUCGUCGCCCAUGUAAACAGGGCUAUAGAAUAAGAAUAGAUCUCUCGAAAUGUAGUAAGGCCUUCUCAUCUAUGUUCGACUUCGUUCACGUUUCAGCGCCAUACAAAAAAAAAAACACGGGCAUGACGAGACUUCAAACGUGUAGGCUUUGUUCGCCGGAAGAGUGAUCUUCGCGUUAUUGUUGAUCUUCCUGCUGAAUUGUAAGUAGACAUAUGUAGGCCUUCACUACUUCAAAUUUAUGACUGGCAACAGUGAAGUGGGGCCCAAUAAGCGAAGAUUUCUCUAUAGCUUCUUUUAAUAAGCUGGAAAAUGCUGCGCUGAGGUCCCUGGUUCCUGAUCGGUUUGUUGGCAAUUUUUUUCACCAGUACUUUACCGAUUUGGUUCCCUAGAUUUUUUGUAGCUCAGCCUUAGAGAAGCCUUAGGAAAAAACUUUAUUGUGCAGAAUUUAAUAAGAGUGAUAAAUGCCUGCUCCAGACUUUGGACAGUAGAAUUUGCUGGACAUAAAUCCUAUCUAAUUACUAGCUAGCUGGCUAUUGUACCGUCUUUAAAACUACAUUAGAUUAGGUAAGGGGUUGAAGUGGCUACCGGCGUUUAGGUGCAUGGGUGCCUUCCAGGUGUAGAUAAUGGUGAGAUCAGCCCUAUUAAGAAGAUAUAAUUCCAUGAAUGAGUUGGCAUGAGCGUCUCUUGUCGAAGCUUGGCCAGAUUUCUCAUUUCGUCCUUGAAGUGGGUAAUGUUAGGGUAAUUCGUUAGAGUACAGAUGCCACCGAAAUUAAAGUAUUUCCAUUAUUUUAAUGCAUUUAGUCCUAAAGCAUUACAGCUUGUCUGAAAUUUCCCAAAAAAGGUUUUCUGGCAGAAAGUUCAAGUGAGCUUUCUAGGGCUGUAGAAGGCGUAGUGGGCAGCACACCAUUGAGUUGAACGCAUGCCGAGAGUUAGAAAUAAAUAGCGACUUAUCUAGUGAUGUCCAAAGUCCACCAGCGGUCGCUUUAGCCCAACAAGAGGCAGUGACUUUGCGAUCACUUCUGGGAGUACAUUAUCAAACGCUUCUUCGAUAACUAGAAACGUAUCUAGCGUAAGGUCCUUAGGCGCCAGCGCUUUUUCGAUACGGGGAUCAAUUGGGGUUUAGUGUGGAGCAAAGGAAGAGUGUGGUUAGUUGAGUGGGUUUAAGGGGUCCUAUGAAGGGAUGGUAAUGUCAUACUGGCUAUGAUGGACUCUGUAUAACAGUACGGAACAUAUGUUGCAUACUACAGCGUCAAGUCUGGAGAGGUAGGAGCCUAAUCUGAAAUAGCAUCCAGAGUGUAAUUGUGCCAGACACCACACAGACCAGGGUCUCUCAAGGUAGCUGAAGUUACUUCCCAGCAAUAUGAAGGAUGUGAUUGAACUUCGUUGAGGGCAUGAGUUGAUGGAGAUUGUGGUAGUCUGCCUGUGAAUGUCGUUAAUUGCCUGUUCUGGCGCCAUUAAAAGGCAUUUCGUAGCUUCGUUCACUGCGAACUACUACUCCCUGAAGACCAAACUGUCCCGGUCUUGUUUAAAAGUUACCAGGCUAGACUACGUGAAGUGAAGAAGCGAUCUAAAUCGGACGUUAGUAUCGAAUAGUUGUCAGCAAAAUAUGAUUUCAUGCUUCACCCAACAACCAAAUUUAAAAAAAAUAAAUAAAAUAAAAUAAAAGUAUUUUUUAAGACUAACAACUAACAUAACAUUUACAAACUUUUUACGCCAGUUAAUUUUUUGUAUAAAUUAUGAUACAACAUUUCGCCUGUGUUGCCGCGUUUUAUUUUUACAAAAAAUAUAAUUAAAUUAUUAAAUUAACUAAUAAGAGUACAUCUACAUAUAGUAUAUAGUUUAUAUGUAAUGCUUUUUUACUAUUUCAUUUUUUCACUACAUAGGUAUGUUGU